ACUCCUACGGGAGGCAGCAGUGGGAAUAUUGCACAAUGGGGAAAGCCCAUCGAUGCAGCCAUGCCGCGUGUGUGAAGAAGGCCUUCGGGUUGUAAAGCACUUUCAGUAGGGAGGAAGGUAGUGUAGUUAACACCUGCACUAUUUGACGUUACCUACAGAAGAAGCACCGGCUAACUCCGUGCCAGCAGCCGCGGUAAUACGGAGGGUGCGAGCGUUAUCCGGAUUUAUUGGGUUUAAAGGGUCCGUAGCGGGUUAUAAGUCAGUGGUGAAAUCCCAUCGCUUAACGAUGGAACUGCCAUUGAUACUGUUAGUCUUGAAUGAGGGUGCAGUGGUUGGAAUGUGUAGUGUAGCGUGAAAUGCAUAGAUAUUACACAGAACACCGAUUGCGAAGGCAGAUCACUAACCCUAAAUUGACGCUGAGGGACGAAAGCGUGGGGAGCGAACAGGAUUAGAUACCCUGUAGGCUCU
rnacentral:rRNA from 1 species